CCGUAAGUUUUAAAGGGCGCACGGUGGAUGCCUUGGCACAAGGAGCCGACGAAGGACGUGUGAGUCUGCGUUAAGCCUCGGGGAGUUGACAACAGAGCUGUGAUCCGAGGAUGUCCGAAUGGGGAAACCCACCACGAGUCAUGUCGUGGUACCUGCCGCUGAAUGUAUAGGCGGUGUGGAGGGAACGCGGGGAAGUGAAACAUCUCAGUACCCGCAGGAAGAGAAAACAAUAGUGAUUCCGUGAGUAGUGGCGAGCGAAAGCGGAGGAGGCUAAACCUGGUCUGUGUGAUACCCGGCAGGGGUUGCAGGUCAGGGGUUGUGGGACGUGUUGGAUGGGUCUGCCGGCUCAUCAGCGUGUACGUGUAGUGGUAGUCGAAGUCGUGGUGAGUGCGACGGCGUAGAGGGUGUGACCCCCGUAGACGAAACUGCUGCAUGGCGUGACGCUGUUCCCGAGUAGCACCGGGCCCGUGAAAUCCGGUGUGAAUCUGCCAGGACCACCUGGUAAGCCUGAAUACUACCUUGUGACCGAUAGCGGACAAGUACCGUGAGGGAAAGGUGAAAAGCACCCCGGGAGGGGAGUGAAAUAGUACCUGAAACCGUGCGCUUACAAUCCGUCGGAGCCUUGAGGGGUGACGGCGUGCCUUUUGAAGAAUGAGCCUGCGAGUUAGUGGUCGGUGGCGAGGUUAACCCGUGUGGGGUAGCCGUAGCGAAAGCGAGUCUGAACGGGGCGUUCAGUCGCCGGCUCUAGACCCGAAGCGAAGUGAUCUAUCCAUGGGCAGUGUGAAGCGCGGGUAAGACCGCGUGGAGGCGCGAACCCACUUCAGUUGAAAAUGGAGGGGAUGACCUGUGGAUAGGGGUGAAAGGCCAAUCAAACUUCGUGAUAGCUGGUUCUCCCCGAAAUGCAUUUAGGUGCAGCGUUGCGUGUUUCGUGCCGGAGGUAGAGCACUGGAUAGGCGAUGGGCCCCACCGGGUUACUGACCUUAGCCAAACUCCGAAUGCCGGUACGUGAGAGCGCAGCAGUGAGACUGUGGGGGAUAAGCUUCAUGGUCGAGAGGGAAACAGCCCAGAACAUCAGCUAAGGCCCCUAAGCGUGUGCUAAGUGGAAAAGGAUGUGGAGUUGCUGAGACAACCAGGAGGUUGGCUUAGAAGCAGCCACCCUUGAAAGAGUGCGUAAUAGCUCACUGGUCAAGUGAUUCUGCGCCGACAAUUUAGCGGGGCUCAAGCACACCGCCGAAGCUGUGUCACUCAGUCCUUGGGGCUGGGUGGGUAGGGGAGCGUCGUGCAGCCGGCGAAGCCGCGGGGGAACCCAGUGGUGGAGGCUGCACGAGUGAGAAUGCAGGCAUGAGUAGCGAAAGACGGGUGAGAAACCCGUCCGCCGAUUGAUCAAGGGUUCCAGGGCCAGGUUAAUCCGCCCUGGGUUAGUCGGGACCUAAGGCGAGGCCGACAGGCGUAGUCGAUGGACAACGGGUUGAUAUUCCCGUACCGAUCGUAGGAGGACCCAUACCGAGGCAGUCGAUGCUAACCACCCGAGCUGUCUCCCUGCCCUUCGGGGCAGGGGUGAUGGUGAGGCUGGGAACCAAGGUUGUAGUAGGUCAGCGUGUGGGAUGACGCAGUGAGGCAGCUUCCGCGGAGUUAAUGGAAUACUCCGUCCAAGCGUGCAGCCCGAUCCCGGGUAAUGCUGGGGUCGUGUGGGUGAGACGUGAUGGGGAGGACCCUUCGGGGAACAAGGAGAGUGAUCCUGUACUGCCUAGAAAAGUCCCGGCGUGACGAAUACGGUCGCCCGUACCCUAAACCGACUCAGGUGAUCAGGUAGAGAAUACCGAGGCGUUCGAGAGAAUCGUGGUUAAGGAACUCGGCAAAAUGCCCCCGUAACUUCGGGAGAAGGGGGGCCCGAUCCGUGAGAGCGGGGAGGGCCGCAGAGACCAGGGAGAAGCGACUGUUUACUAAAAACACAGGUCCGUGCGAAGUCGUAAGACGCUGUAUACGGACUGACGCCUGCCCGGUGCUGGAAGGUUAAGAGGACCGGUUAGACGCUUUCGGGUGUCGACGCUGAGAAUUUAAGCCCCAGUAAACGGCGGUGGUAACUAUAACCAUCCUAAGGUAGCGAAAUUCCUUGUCGGGUAAGUUCCGACCUGCACGAAUGGCGUAACGACUUCUCCACUGUCUCAACCGCGAACUCGGCGAAAUUGCAUUACGAGUAAAGAUGCUCGUUACGCGCAGCAGGACGGAAAGACCCCGGGACCUUUACUAUAGUUUGAUAUUGGUGUUCGGGACGGCUUGUGUAGGAUAGGUGGGAGACUGGGAAGCAUUCACGCCAGUGAGUGUGGAGUCAUUGUUGAAAUACCACUCUGGUCGUUCUGGAUUCCUAACCUCGGUCCGUGAUCCGGAUCAGGGACAGUGUCUGAUGGGUAGUUUAACUGGGGCGGUUGCCUCCUAAAGAGUAACGGAGGCGCUCAAAGGUUCCCUCAGCCUGGUUGGCAAUCAGGUGUUGAGUGUAAGUGCACAAGGGAGCUUGACUGCGAGACAGACAUGUCGGGCAGGUGCGAAAGCAGGAACUAGUGAUCCGGCACCUCAUUGUGGAAUGGGUGUCGCUCAACGGAUAAAAGGUACCCCGGGGAUAACAGGCUGAUCUUGCCCAAGAGCUCAUAUCGACGGCAUGGUUUGGCACCUCGAUGUCGGCUCGUCGCAUCCUGGGGCUGGAGUUGGUCCCAAGGGUUAGGCUGUUCGCCUAUUAAAGCGGUACGCGAGCUGGGUUUAGAACGUCGUGAGACAGUUCGGUCCCUAUCCGCUGCGCGCGUUGGAUAUUUGAGAAGUCCUGUCCCUAGUACGAGAGGACCGGGAUGGACUGACCUCUGGUGUGCCAGUUGUUCUGCCAAGGGCAUGGCUGGUUGGCUACGUCGGGAAGGGAUAACCGCUGAAAGCAUCUAAGCGGGAAGCCUGCUUCGAGAUGAGAUAUCCUUGCACCCUUGAGGUGUGUGAGGCCCCCAGUAGAUGACUGGGUUGAUAGGCCAGAUGUGGAAGCACAGUAAUGUGUGGAGCUGACUGGUACUAAUGGCUGAUGACUUACAACAACAU
rnacentral:rRNA from 1 species